rnacentral:lncRNA from 1 species
GCUAUCCCGGCCUGCGGGUGUCGCGGUGAGUAGCCGGCCCGCGGCGCUUGACCCCGCGCGGCCUACGUCGGCGCCUGAGCGUGGGCUGCGGCCUGAAGGGACGCGGCUGCUGGAGCAGGCUUGGUGGCCUGGGAGGCCAGAGCUGCUUCCGGAUUCAACAGCAGUGAUGGGUACUGCGCAUGGCCGUUCUCUCGGUGGCCGUAACCUCCAGCCAGUGUUGUGAUUUACUAGAAAAAAAUACCGAUUUUAUCUUUAUUGCUGUUAUUACGGUCAGGAUUUAGACCGCGUCGGUACAGGAGGCUGGAAGACAGAAAGGAUGCAUGUUUCUUUGCAGUAUGCUUGUUAAAAAAAUUACCUUUUAUGGUUUUCGUACACCCCAAACUAGUGCUUUAAAUAUAAAUAUAGGAAGACCCGCCACCUGUCUGUCAGAUCUUGUCCUUUUACUUUGAGAGCCAUCAUGUUGGUUGGUUGCUUAUCUUCAAACAAAAAAUGAGACCCUGGAGACGCUUUCUAGUCCGUGGGCCCAACAAAACAGUUACUUCAAACUUAUUUCUUCUUUUAUUUGAAAUAAUGCUUUAAGAAAAACAGGAAGUAAGCCUUUCUUACCCUCAGCAUGUGCCUGCCACGGAGCUCUGCAACUGAAAUGUCACCAUACCGUAGUCUAUAGUUUUCAUUUGAUGGCCCUGGAAUCAAAUCUCUAACAUUUCUGUGCUGUUUCUUGCCAGGUUUCUUAACAAUUUUAUAUUACUAUUUUUCUUGUGAAGUAUAAUUAACAUGAAGUUUAUUGAUUAUUUUACUAGUAUAGUUGAAUGGCAUCGGGUACAUUCACAGUGUUGUCUUAACAGGCAGUGCCAUAUAUUUCCAAAAUCAAUCACUCAGGACAGACAUUAUAACAUAGGGCAGGGACUCCUGCUCUUCUUCAGUCUCUCAGUUUACCUGGUUUAGAUACUUCAUUUGAAUUGGAAUCCAUGGUCUUUCCUUUAUCUGUAUCUGUUUGAGGCUAUUCUUGGUUGUCAACUUGACAACCAAAAAUGGCUAGACACAACUGUGAGAGAUUUUUGCUGAAUUAAAUCAUUUGAAGUGGGGAGAGCAUUUCUAAUCUGUAUCUUUGAGGUGGGAAGAUCCACCUUUAAUCUAAGGCCACACCUUCUGCUGGCAGCCUUUACAAAGGCUAUGGAAUAAGGAAGCCCCCUCUUUGCCUGCUUGCUCUCACCCAUACUUGAAAGUCCAUAUUCCUUCACUGGCAUUAGAGCCUGUUUGUAUGCUGGAUUCCAGUGUAUGCUGAAGAACAGCCGAGACUUCCAGCUUUGUGGAUGAGCAACUAGAUUCUUGGACUUGACAUCAGUAGACGGCCAUUGUUGGACUUGCGGGAGUACUCUAAUAAAUCCCCCCUCUCUCUAUAUGGAGAAAUCCAUUCUAUAAUUUCUGUUACUCUAGAGAAUCCUGGCAAAUAGUUUCUCUGCUUUCUGUCUUUGGAAUGUCUAUGGAAGGUUUGAAUUGCUUAGUUCGUGUUUGAAAAGCACUGACUGCUGAGUCUGAUGGCUCCACUUGUCUGGCUUGGUCUCCAGUGACCUUUAUGGCCUUUCAUAUUGCUUGUCAGCACAUCUUCUGGAUGUACCUUGGAACCCUUCUUCUUUUUUUUUUUUUAAUUUUUUACUAGGUAUUUAGCUCAUUUACAUUUCCAAUGCUAUCCCAAAAGUCCCCCAUACCCACCCACUCCCCCUUUUUGGCCCUGGCAUUCCCCUCUACUGGGGCAUAUAAAGUUUGCAAGUCCAACGGGCCUCUUUUUCCAGUGAUGGCCGCUUAGGUCAUCUUUUGAUACAUAUGCAGCUAAAGACAAGAGCUCCAGGGUACUGGUUAGUUCAUAAUGUUGUUCCACCUAUAGGGUUGCAGAUCUCUUUAGCUCCUUGGGUAAUUUCUCUAGCUCCUCCAUUGGGGGCCCUGUGUUCCAUCCUUGGAACCCUUCGGAAGUCUUUUCCUAGGUUCUUCUCCAAAGUUCCCAGUGUCCCAGAGGAUCUGUUCAGUAUCUGUUCUCUGCACCUGCUCUUCCUUUGUUACGUAAACCUGCUCUGCAUUGGUUUCUCUGUAGCUUCAGCUACAGUUCCCGUGUGUCUUAAGUUUCUGUGUGAAGCCUGGGUUCCAAUGUGAAGGCAUUGCCCUAUCUUCAAUGUACCAGCUCACCUCUGACCCUUGUUCUGGGUCAUCAAGACUUGAAAGCUUGGUGCUAUAGCCUCUUCUUCCUUAGGUGACGCCAUUCAUGCUGACCAGUAUAGGUAGUUAGUUGGUCUUUGUUUUACCUUCCCCACUCAGUUUCACAGCCCAAGGUCAAGCCAAGAUGGCUUCUCCUUGUGAUUGUUGUCAUUAACUCCUUGAUUCUAAACAUUUUCUCCCUCUAUCCUAAACCGUUUUGUACACAGCUGUCAGGACUUCUUCCCUAAGCUGGGUAGUAGAAUUGCAUAAAGACACUAGCUAGCGAUUUUCAUCCCACUUCCCAAUAGGGUCUCACUCUGUAGCCCAGGCUGGCCCGAACUGUUGUCACAUUCUUCCUGCUACAGCUUCCCAAGUGCUGGGGUUGUAAAUGUGAACUACCAAGUCCAGUUCAUUCCUGACACGUUUAUUCUUAGUGGCAGAGCUCCAGUCUGUUUUCCUACAAUUAAACUUCCACUAGCUUUAAAGCCCUUACAAUUCACUGACCUGUAAGUCUUUCAGGUGAGGCUAGGAAUAUGGCUCAGUGGUUAAGAGGAAGUGGUGUUCUUGCAGAGAAACCUAGUUCAAUUCCCAGUACCCAUGUUGGUGACUUGACACUGCUUGUGGGUCAGACACCUCUGGACUCUGCAGACCGUGUGUGUGUGUGUGUGUGUGUGUGUGUGUGUGUGUAUGUGUAUAAUUAAAAAUAAAAGUAAAUCU